UCUGUGGCUCAGUUGGUAGAGCAACGCAUUCGUAAUGCGUGGGUCGUGGGUUCGAGUCCCAUCGG
rnacentral:tRNA from 1 species